CUCUGUGUUCUAGAACUUAGGAUUAUGUUGCUGUCUUUGUAUGAACUUGCCAUGUUCGAAAGUUAAUGAGUUUCGUGGCCUAUUUGGUUUCAACAAUGAAGUUUGUGUUUAUCACUUCUGCAGAGAUAGUUUGCGCUGAGGUAGAACAUUUUGCCCAUUUCCUGAGCCGAAGGUCUCUUUGUCUGUCUCUGUCUCUCUCAACCAAAUUGUCAUGCUCUGGUAGUUCUCACUGCUCAGUGUCUUCACCCUGAGAACUUUGAUAUUGAAGGUGUACGUCCCGGAGAUAGAAGAAAUUUGUUGAGCCAGCUAAGAUACGUAAAUGGGCUGUGGUGAACUUCUUUGCUCGGUAUGAAAUGCGUGGGCUUAUAAGAGACCCGACUAGAUUAGCUGAAAUGAAAGGACUUCUCACCGAACAACCUUUUGACGUGUUUGAGGAAAGCCCCCAAU